GGGUUGUGAGGUUAAGCGACUAAGCGUACACGGUGGAUGCCCUGGCAGUCAGAGGCGAUGAAGGACGUGCUAAUCUGCGAUAAGCGUCGGUAAGGUGAUAUGAACCGUUAUAACCGGCGAUUUCCGAAUGGGGAAACCCAGUGUGUUUCGACACACUAUCAUUAACUGAAUCCAUAGGUUAAUGAGGCGAACCGGGGGAACUGAAACAUCUAAGUACCCCGAGGAAAAGAAAUCAACCGAGAUUCCCCCAGUAGCGGCGAGCGAACGGGGAGCAGCCCAGAGCCUGAAUCAGUGUGUGUGUUAGUGGAAGCGUCUGGAAAGGCGCGCGAUACAGGGUGACAGCCCCGUACACAAAAAUGCACAUGCUGUGAGCUCGAUGAGUAGGGCGGGACACGUGGUAUCCUGUCUGAAUAUGGGGGGACCAUCCUCCAAGGCUAAAUACUCCUGACUGACCGAUAGUGAACCAGUACCGUGAGGGAAAGGCGAAAAGAACCCCGGC
rnacentral:rRNA from 1 species